rnacentral:rRNA from 1 species
GAUGAACGCUGGCGGCGUGCCUAAUACAUGCAAGUCGAGCGAACAGACGAGGAGCUUGCUCCUCUGACGUUAGCGGCGGACGGGUGAGUAACACGUGGAUAACCUACCUAUAAGACUGGGAUAACUUCGGGAAACCGGAGCUAAUACCGGAUAAUAUAUUGAACCGCAUGGUUCAAUAGUGAAAGACGGUUUUGCUGUCACUUAUAGAUGGAUCCGCGCCGCAUUAGUUAGUUGGUAAGGUAACGGCUUACCAAGGCAACGAUGCGUAGCCGACCUGAGAGGGUGAUCGGCCACACUGGAACUGAGACACGGUCCAGACUCCUACGGGAGGCAGCAGUAGGGAAUCUUCCGCAAUGGGCGAAAGCUUGACGGAGCAACGCCGCGUGAGUGAUGAAGGUCUUCGGAUCGUAAAACUCUGUCAUUAGGGAAGAACAAAUGUGUAAGUAACUAUGCACGUCUUGACGGUACCUAAUCAGAAAGCCACGGCUAACUACGUG